rnacentral:rRNA from 1 species
CACGUAGGGGACGAGCGUUGUCCGGAUUCAUUGGGCGGAAAGCGCGCGUAGGCGGCUCGGAAAGUCGGGCGUGAAAUGCCGGGGCUCAACCCCGGGACUGCGUCCGAUACUUCCGAGCUGGAGGUAGGUAGGGGAGAUCGGAACUCCUGGUGUAGCGGUGAAAUGCGCAGAUAUCAGGAGGAACACCGGUGGCGAAGGCGGAUCUCUGGGCCUUACCUGACGCUGAGGCGCGAAAGCUAGGGGAGCGAACAGG